rnacentral:ncRNA from 1 species
GCCAUGGGGAUUGAAGCGAUCUCCCCGUGAGGCGACAUGCCCAAGUAUCGCGUCCCGUUCACUUAUACGAGGGCGCAUCAUG